CAUUAAAAAGUUAGUUGUGAGAUUCAAUUUAAUUUGAAGUUAAUUUUUUAUUAUUAUUGUUAUUUAUUGGAAUAUUUAAAAUAAGAAUAUUUUAAUUUUAUUAUUUUUAGAAAAAAUUUAUUUUAUUAUAGUUUAAUAGUAUUGAAGAAGAAAAUUUUAGUUAUAGAAAAGAAAAAUUUAAUUUUUGUACCUUGUGUAUCAGGGUUUAUUAAUUAAAAAUAUAAAAAUUUAUAAAUCUCGAAUUUAAAAGAUCUAAUAAAAUAAAAUUAUUAUUGUAGAAUAAUUAAAAUUUAAUUUUUUAUUAGUAAUGAAAUGUUAUUCGUUUUUAAAUAUAUCUAGUUUUUUAAGAAAUUAAUUUAAUUAAUUUAUUAUUAAUAUAUUUUUAUUUUUUUAAUUAUAUAUUUAUAAUAGAAUAAAUUUUUAGGGAUGAGCUUAAAAGUUGAUUAUUAUUAGAAUUUAAUUUAUAAUUUAAAAUUAGAAUUAAAAAUUUUCGUAUUUUAAAGUAUGUUAUUAUUUAUAAUUAUAAAGUAUUAUUUUUAUAUUCUAUAAAUAUUUUAUUAAAAUAUAAAUUUUAAUUUAAAAAAUUUAGUGUUAAUGAUAAAAUUAGUAUAUAUUUAUGUAAUUAAUUAAUUUAAUUUUAGGUUAAGUAAAGGAAUUUGGCAAAAAAUUUUUCACCUGUUUAUUAAAAACAUGUCUUUUUGUAUAAAUAUAAAGUCUAACCUGCCCAUUGAUGAAUUGAAUGGCCGCGGUAUUUUAACCGUGCUAAGGUAGCAUAAUCAUUAGUUUUUUAAUUGAAAGCUGGAAUGAAUGGUUGGAUGAAAAAAUAGCUGUCUCUAUAUUAAAUAUAAUAGAAUUUUAUUUUUAAGUUAAAAAGCUUAAAUUUUAUUAAAAGACAAGAAGACCCUAUAGAGUUUUAUAAUUAAUUAUAUUAUAUUUUUGGAAUUAAUUUUAUAUUAAAAAUUAAUUAUUUAAUUGGGGUGAUUAAAAAAUUUACUAAACUUUUUUUGUAUUUUUAUAUUAAUUUAUAAGUUAUUGAUCCAAAAUUUUUGAUUAUAAGAUAAAAUUACCUUAGGGAUAACAGCGUAAUUUUAUUAGAGAGUUCUAAUCGAUAAUAAAGAUUGCGACCUCGAUGUUGGAUUAAAAUUAAUAAUUGGUGUAGAAGCUAUAUAAUUAAGUCUGUUCGACUUUUAAAAUUUUACAUGAUCUGAGUUUAAACCGGUGUAAGCCAGGUUGGUUUCUAUCUUUAAUUAAUUAAUAUAUUUUAGUACGAAAGGACCAAGUAUAUAAAUAAUAUUUUUAUUUUGAUAAAUAUUAUUAUUUUGGCAGAUUAGUGCAAUAGAUUUAGAAUCUUUAUAUAUAAUUUAUUAU
rnacentral:rRNA from 1 species